UUAGUAGAUCGUUCUAUCGCUUUUUAAAGAGGAAAGUCCGGGCAACUUAGAGCACCAAGCUUCUGAAAUAGGAGAUAUCUGUGAAGGUAUAGAUCAGGCAGAAGAAAAUAACCGUCCCGAUUUAUCGGGAUAAGGGUGAGAAGGUGAGGUAAGAGCUCACCAGUCAGGCAAGUGAUUGUUUGAGCUGUGUCUCUCUUGGGUUGAAAGACCAUGUAUAUCCAAAAUCUGCGUAGCAGAGCAAGGCUGCUCGCUUUGUAUUCGAAAGAAUAUUUUGGAGGGGUAGGUCGCUAGAGACUUUGAGUAAUCAAAGUUCAAGAUAAAUGAUAGAAAUUUAGCAUUUGCUAAAUACAGGACCCGGCUUAUAGAUCUACUAACUUU
rnacentral:RNase_P_RNA from 1 species